CAGAGAACGAGUGAUGGAAUGAGAACAGGAGAAUUCUGGGAAGGAGGAAAUUGAUUCCUCCCACUCCUGCCCAGAUGACCGAAGCAGCAGGAUGUAAUCUGCCCCACUGAAAAAAAGGUCCCAUGAGGCCAUUCAGUGUUCAACAGCCAUCCUGCCCAGCCUGAAAAUAUUAGCCUAUCCAGGCCAAGCUUGGCGUUCUGCUCCCAGGCCAGCCUGAAGUCUAGGGAAGGAGCAGGAAGAAUGCAUUUGGGUUUUAUAUAGCUCUGGCUGACUUCAAACACAGUAGUACCUGAAAAUGACCUGAACUCCUGAUACCCCGCUUCUGCCUAUGGCGUGCUGAGAUCCCAGCUACAAGCAUCCAUACCUCGCUGGAGAGUUUUUAUUACUGAUUUAAUCUCCUUGUGCAUCACUGGUCUUUGAGAUUUAACACUGAGCUGUGCAUCUGGAACCUCCAGCUUGAUACAGACACGUAUCACUAUAAACUUCUCGCCUAUAAUUGUUCUUGAUGCUACCAUACAUUUUUGUAUUUUUUAAAACACAAAAUGCUUUCUGUCUCAUUUUUUUCUUAAUUUCCCAUUUCUGCCCUGGCAUAUCAGUUGUUCUGGAUCAUGUUUAGUUUUUCGUGUAUUUAUGAAUUCUCUGAAAUUACUCCUCCUACUGAUAGCUACCUUUUAAGGAACUAUGUUUUCCAGAGUCUUACAUUUGUUAAAACUUAUUUUGUCUUGCCACCCUAGAGAAUGGUCCUCAUGUGUUUUGAGAAGAAUGUGCUUUCUGCCACUGCUGGAUCUGUAUAAAGCCCAUUUGUAUAAACCAUAGAGGAUGAGGAUGAGGGAGGGUGAGGCGAAGUUAGCACAGCACAAGGAAAUUCUAGGCCAUGCUAAUUGAGUUUGAUUCUCUACAUGAUUGAGCUCUAUUUAAGGGACUGAAGAAAAUACACAUUUCAGAAAGAUUCUUUGCCUUGAUUAGAGAGACUAGCCAGAGGGAGGUAGGGCAGAGAACACUCAGGAAGGUGUCGCAAUAACCCAGAUAAGAGAGAAUUGUCAUUAAGUAGGGCACACAUUCAGAGAUGGUAGAGAGAAAAGCAGGGGUCCCAGAAAUACUUAAUGAGUCUAUAAUAAUAGGCACAUUCUAGAACAUGUCAUUGGUAAAACAAAAUGGUUCCUGGUUUCCCAUCUGAGGAAUUGAAUGCCUGAGACCACUGAGAAUAGCUAUUUGUGAAGAUGAAGGACACCUGUUGAGAAGGGAGUAGAUACAGUAUGCUCUGAAGAUCAUUAACAUAGUAAGGUUACUUUGAAUUUCCUAUAACUUGCUACUUUUAGCCUAUGCUUAGGUGGCUAUGUAUCUCAUCCCGAAUUCUGUGCCCAUAUUGAGUGUUGUAUCACCUGCUUGUAUCCUAAAUCUGGACUCUCAGCUCUAGAUCUCAGUGACUUGGUGAUGGGAAACUAAUUAGGGGCUCUAGUUUCAGAUAUGUUUUUGCCCUGAGUCAAUGAUUUUUUUUUGCAAGCAAUUUUUUUUUGUGUGUGUGUGUUGUAGUUCUCUGUAAGUUCUACGGGAAAACAUUGUCUGUGCAGGCCUAGGAAGGUGUGCAGGCAAUUUUGAGUUGUGCUAUUAAAAAGGAGUUUGGGAAGGAAGAAUAUAUUACCUGUGUUUCCUAUUAUAGUCCAAUUUCUAGCAUGCCUCCUGCUUAACCAAGUGCUGUUAACAAUGUGAGGAACUGAAGAUUUAGCUGCAGGCAAGAGAAGCAUGAACAUUUGUCCUCGAUCACCUCACAGGUCAGCAGAAAGAAGACACACAGAUAAAAUCCUGUGUCUUUCCUCUUCCCUUUCAGACUUUGCUCUUAGUACAGGACAAUAAAUCUUAUGACUAAAGCCAUCCUUGUUGACAGAUUCAAUGGGAAGAGUACUCUCCCUAAGAAUUCAUUCUGACUUAAGAUUGAAAACACUCUGUAGUUUCAGAUUUCCCUUUCCCCCUCCAUGACUUUGCGUCUAAAGAUGAUCAACUAGGGAAGGCAGUACCAUUGCUACACUGGGCUCUACACUGAUGGUAGGCUACUGAAGAUGGAGAGGAGACACGCAGCACGAUUCCCUAGAACACUUUUCAGAGAGUAGCAUAGAGGGUGAGAAUGUUCCAGAUCAUUUUGUGUUUACAAUUUGCAGAUUAUAAUCCUCUCCAAAUGACUGUAUAUGAAAGUUCUUGUGUUGGUAUCAGUAUCUGUUCACUUACUCUGAAGUUACCUGAGGAAGUUCAGAAUGGUGCAGCGAGGAAAGAGCAUUUCUCCCUUUAAGGGAUUGGAGAGGACGUGUGAAGGGCAAUUCUAAAGAAACGUGUGGCUCCCCAACUCUAUCUCUACAUCUGUAAUUUCCAUGGUACUAAUAGAUGCACUACACAGUCCACAACAUGCAUUGCUGACGGUGUUAACCAUGGGCUGCCCUAUGAGUAGGAAAGGGAGGAUUUUCUUGCCAGUUGUGCCAAUUAAGUAACUACAGAGAAUAGAGAGUAUCAUGUGAGACGUCUGAAAAGCCAUUACCAUCCUGAGAGUGAGAUGUAUGACAACCAAAGAACGACCCUCUUCUUUCUCUUCUGAAACCUUGGUCCAAUCAUUUCUUCCACCAGGAAGAAUUUUUCUGGUGACAAUGUUCUCCUGUAUGGUGGUCAUAUAAAAAUAACCACCAAUAAAGGUUUUACUUUAGAAGAAAGUUGAGAGGAAGAGAAAAGGAGAAAGUGAUCACAAUCAAAUGCAGACGCGAGAGCGCUACCAGUGCAGGCACACGUGGGUGAUGGAAACAUUGCUCAUGUAGGGUAGAUAUUCAUAGGAAUGGUUAUCUGGAAGUUGCUGCCUCCUCUCAAAACUGGGUCAGGGAACCAUUUCCUCUGUGAGAUUGAGCAUCUUAUAUAGUUG